UAAACAACUAAUCUGGGACUCUCGGUACAUUAGCUUCUGAUGAUUCAACAAAGACCUUCGUCAGUCAUCUAAUGUUUAUUAUUGCUGAAGUCUGUUCUUUUUGUGUAUGACUGGAUUCCUUGCUGUAUUGGAACCACGAAUGCUCCCAGAAAUGGUCAAGAUAAAAAUGGGAAAAACUGUCUUUUGGAAAUUCAAUAUGGUUAACAUACAAUACAUGAUGAGACAAAACGAUAUAGUCUUGGACAAAAGCUGUAAUCUGCCAGCACAAAAGAUCCCAAACUCUGGCCCAGUACAUUCUACCUUCCUGCCUAUUAAGCAGUCUUUCAUGGCAAACUGAACACAAAGCAGUGGGGAGACGAGACCAGCCACGGGAAAACCAGUCUGACUCAACCUUGAAGAUGUCACUUGCAAUUCUGGCACCUAGGAUGAUGUCACUUCGGGCACCUAGGAUGGUGUCACUUCGGGCACCUAGGAUGGUGUCACUUCUGGUUCUGGUGUCGCGAUUGAUGUCAGAAGAAGGUCACUUCUGGUUCCCCUACGUCACUUCUGGUCUGAUUAUUCAAAACCACCAUCUUUACAAACCAUCAUCAGUUCAUUUUUGGGACUCCAACCAAGAAACUUGUCAGAAUUCAACCCAUUGCAGCCAGGGAUAAUAUAUGGGUGGCUAUCCCAAACCUUUUUAUGUGUGUCAAGUCUGAUCGUUUUUACAAAUGACAGAAAGAAUGAGCUUUAUAUAUUUCACAGAGACAUAUCUCCAUGCAUUGACCACUAAGUGAGUGGUAGCGUGAUUUUCCAGUCACAGCUUCUGCUCUUCCUGGGACACCCUAACAAAGUCUAAUUGUCUGCAUUUUGAUUGUCU